GAGAGUAGUAAAACCCGUGUGUUCAUAGGAAAUUCCAUGGCUAUUUGCUCUGCAGUGAGUUCCGAGAAGAGAGUACCUCUGGGAAGAGGGGAUCGAACUCAGGACCUUGUGCUUGUGAGGCAGGUGCGGUGCCAGGGAGCUAAAUCCCCAGCCCCUGUAGCUCUUCUUUCAAAGGAGCCUUUUGGAGACUAUCAUUAUUCAGUGGUGCUGGGCAGGCACAGUUCAACAAAAGGAUAGAAAGCUUUGGAGACCACACACCGAUAUUUACCCGUCAAUGUAUUCUUCAGGCAUCAAAGACAAAACUGGACAGAAUCUUAAAGAGCAUCAAGACAUGAUAUGUAAGAGUACCAACUCCCUCUGAUUAAUGUAAUCACCGUGUUGCAAACAUGUACUAAUAAACAUUUUAAAAAUAGACAGAAUCAUCAGGAAAAGUUGACGAAUCCAUGUUUCCAGUGGGAGAAUCUCUCUUACAGACUGGCAGAUAAAAACAAUAAAAAACUGCUGACAACAGAAGACUUGAACUACACCAUUAAUAGAUCUAGAGAGGGAAUACUUUAUUCAACAAAGAAUAAACUUUUUAAGCAUACAUAGAACAUCUUUUAAAAAGCAAGUAUAGGGGCUGGGGAUUUAGCUCAGUGGUUCCGCCACCUGCAAAACGUGAGUACCAUCCAGGCUGAAAAUAGCACCAUGAAACGAGAAAACUAAAUGGUAGGAGAAAACCUCCACAGAUUUGGAAAUGUUAAGAUACUUCUAACUAAUUGGGAUCACAGAAGAAAUUACUGGGGAGCAGGGAUUGGAGGGGUGAGCGUAGAGACUGGGACAUGUCGGGGGCGAGCAGGACAGUGAAGGAGGCCUGAUGGUGGCUGGGGUUGGCAUGGCCGAGAAGGAAGGAGAAAAGUGGGCAGAUUUGUGACGGGUGGAAGCAGUCAAAGCACUGGAAAGACCAUGCAUCGUGCCUGCUUCCCUCCUUCCCUCUGGACUGAAACCAUCCUCCUCUGGCUCUCAGCAGCUGUGUGGUGCUCAGGGAGAUCUGGGCCUGUUGUCGGGCGGGGUGAGCCCCCUCUGGGGUCAAGAGAGUCCUCAACCUUGAGCAGGGCUGGACUUCCGCCUUCCUGCUGCCUGGUGCCCAGACCUCGGCCGCCUCUCUGAAGUUCUGAGGCUGAGAAGCAACUGUGUGUGGCCAAGGGUCACUACUCUACCCACGUCCGCGGUGUACUCUUGGAAACCGUGACGAGCCAGGCAUUUAAAGAAAAUCUUUCCCAGCUGAAACCACGUUAUGAUUAAGGAUUAGAUGCUGACCAAGGCUUUAGCAGCAAGUAACUCACAGACAUGACCCCGCCCCUCUGCUCCUCACCCCCUUCAGAGAAGAGGAAACUGAGAUUUUGGCUGAGAGAGCACUGAAUCUGGAUGCAUUGGACUUCGAAGCCCAUUUCUCCAUGGUGACCGGUGUACUCCAGGCAGCGGCCAUGACUUCUAGAUGAGAGGAUCUGAGGUGGGGGCUCAGGAAGGGAAGACGCUUGCUGUUUACUGGAGGACAGAAAAGAUGGCGGUGGGGAUGACCCAUGCUGACCUGCUGUGGAUUUACAAGGAGGAGGUGCCCAGGGGCGGGUUCCAUCAUGCCAGGAGGUGAUGGGAGAGGCAGGUCGGGAGGCAGAGAGGGGUCCCUCGGGCAGGGCCGACCUGAGCUUCUUCGAGGCUGAUGGGGUUGGCUUUGCCCUUGAGCGUGCCAGAUCCCUGAAGGCUCCAUGCCUACCUCUCCAGCCCCCUUUGGCAACACUCAGGGUACACUUCUCUUCCUCGUCACAGAGUAGUUCAGUUUCUCCCAAUGUGUUCUCUGCCACAGCUAAGUAAGGAAUGCGCUCAUGCUGGUCAAUGAAGACGAUCGACUCGAUGUAUUUCUCUCUCCAAAUCUGUGUACCUCAACUCAUUACUGGGUGCUGGAAAUACAAAGCUGAGGCCACCAUCUCUAACCAUUACAGUGAGGAGACAGAUACUUAAAUAAAUGAAUGUGAUACAAGGGGUUAUAACAAGAAGGAAGUGCAAAGGAAUUUCUGAAAUGCUCCUGGACAGGUAGGUGAGUGUAGCCAUAGGAGAUAUUUGAUAGAGCUUUGUCUGAUGAGUAGGAGAGGAACACCAGGUGGGGGUCGGCCUGCUCUGGCUAGAUAAAGUAAAGCGAAGGCCAAGGGGCUGGGCUGCACUGUGGAGGGCCGCACAGUAAACUAUGAGACACCAAGGCUGUUUCCUUAGGCUGGUGGCCCCAUCAGACUUAAAACUGUUUGAAGCAGGCUUGAGAUUUCAUCUGAUCUGUGUUCUGGAAAUACGCAUCCAGUUCAGCGAGGAGGCCGGGGGAGUCCCUGGGAGGAAGGAUGCAGUGGUACCACAGACACCUUCAGCCAGGGUGAGAGUGAGUCUGGGUGAAGGAGGCCUCUUCCCAGGAUUCAGAGAAAUCCUAGCUGAGGCCACAGGGAGAAGGGAUGAAGAUAGCCUUGAGGAGCAGAGGACGUGGGCUCUGACGCGCAUGCAGGGACAGGAGUGGGUGUCCCCACCCCGGUCCUUGCUCUUGAGGACCGCAGGCUCUGAUGCUGAGCAUGGUGUGAAGGGCCCUUCACAGCCCCCUCAAGCAAGGGAGGACCUCAGUGAUCCACAAACCCCAAAGAAUCCUGGGGCUGACCAGUGGGGGGCGCUGCCUUAACUAGUCCAAGAAUGGCCCCUGGGUUCCGGCUCCUUUGUUGGCUUUUUAAUGGCAAUCAAGCUUUGUAGGACUCUUCCAUUUCCCUAGGAGGGAAACACUGAGAAACAGGCUCUGGGGUGAUUUGUAGGGCCAUAGCCAGGCGGGUUGGGGGUGUCUAGGCAGCUAGGAGGGCUGUGACUGGGAGGGAAAGCUGGUCACAGGUCCUGGGAAACUUUCCAGGGGUGUGAGAGCCCAUGUGAGACCAGGAAGUGGCCUGUCACACACUGUUGGGCUUGGAUAAUGGGUUUUAACGUGCAGUGAGAGACACAGCAGCACAUCCUGGGUAAGGGUAGGUUCUCUGGAGCCAGGCUGUGAGUUCGAAUUCUGAGCUUUCACCUCCUUUCUGUGGCCCUUGGGAAAGACACUUCAUUGUGUCGUGCCUCCGUUUUCCCAUCUGCAGUGCGGGGGGAGUUAUGAUUCCCACAUUGGAGGUUUGUUUUGAGGACUAAGCGAGUUCAUUCAUUGGCAGUAUCUACAGCAUGAGGCCUGUGCAUUCUGUCAGGAUCUGCUUUGCCCAGGGCAGCCUGGGCUCUCAGGAAGUCAACAGCCAGAGACUGCUCCCUCCUGCAGGGUGGGCACCAGGGCUCCAUGGGGGCUGCUCUCAGUCCCCCACUUCCUGCAGACCUGAGGACAAUCUGAGCCCCAGACCCAGCUUCGAAAGAGCGGUGGAGGGAACAGCACUCCACCCCACCUGCCGGGAGGCCAGGGCAGCAGGGGAGGGAUCCUGGCUGCCCAGAUGUCCAGCUGUACCUGGACCCCACCCAGCCAGGUCAGCCUUUGCCUGGAACUUCAAAGUCAUUUAUUUUGUUCCUUUUCCGUUUGGCUUUCAGGAAUGUUUAAUGGGGCGUGUCAGAGCGAAAUAGUCAUAACUUGUAGCCUUUUCUCUGCAGACGAAACAGGUGCAUAAUCCUUCUUUAGCCAAGUCUGUCAGCUGCAGCAGGCAACACCCCCUCUCCCUGGGCCUCUGUGUCAGCCCUUCCUUCUGUCUUUGGGGCUAUCCCAGGCUCUUCUGUUGAGGGCCUUUCUGGAGCCCCAGAUCCAGUGCAAAGUACUGCAUUCCCUCACCAUGCUGGACAAAGCCAUCUGAGCCGUGAGAGUCUGAGGUGGAAAAAUCUGUCCUUGUCAGCAGCCCCUGCGGCCGAAUGCACAAGAUUUCGGGGGGGGGGGGUGUUAAGCCAGGUGGAGACCAUAUCGUGACAGGUGUGUGGAGCCAUGUAGCUCUCUCCUCCGCCCUUCUGAAGUGGUUCCCAAGUUCCAGAACGUUCCUCAUCUCCUCAGGGACAGUCUGUCAGGAAAGCAGCUCCACCCACACAGGACAAAGCCUCCAAGGCUUUCUGCCCCACCUGGGAGGCAGCUCUCGGGUCUAAGUGUUUCCUGCCAUCCUUCUCUCUCCAAAGUUUCAGUCGUGUUCUAAUGUAAACAAUAUUAUCGGAUAGACUGCGGCCUGUGGGAUCUGUGGUGGGCAGUGAUGGAUGGGUCCUGGACUGGGCAGCAGGCCCACAUCUGUCUCACUCCCACUGGUUCCAGAACCGACCUAACUGUUAGCACAGCCUGACUUGGAUCAUUUGUCUCCAAGUGCCAGGGGAUUUUCAAACAGCUGCAGAGCCAAGCUGCGCCCAAGGGACAGAGUUCUGGGUUGUGGCAGGAAUAACACACACUGCCCACACUUGGAGUCCUGGCCCUGAAUUCCCAGAGCCCCGGGCCUGCUCGGCCACCACUGGAGUCUCCCCCGCCCGCCUACAGCCCAUGGCGGCAAGGGCCAGCUGAGGACUAAGCCCAGGGCCACUUCAGAGGAGGACGCCCCCCCCGCCGCCCCUCACAGUGACCUAUUUCUAUCCAACACCCAGGGGAGCGGCGCUCGGCCCUGACGUAGAACAGAAAAAAGUAAAGAUAGGUGGAAAGGAGACCAGGAAAAUCAUAACUGUAAAAAUAAAAACUGCGGCUUCAGGACACAAGCCCAGUUUAAAAAGUGUUUUUUCUUCUUUCCUCCCAAGACUGGGCAAUUAAUUCCCUUUUACCCACACAGGGGCGUCUUUCACCUGUGACUAGGCCACCUUUUCCCACCUGUAAAAUAAGCCUUUCCGGUGAAUGGGCCGGAGCUGUCACCUUGCUCCUGAAAACGGAAUCCCCUCUUUCCAUAUUCAUGGGUUUCCACACCCUCCAAAUCUCCCACAAAUAUACCUAGCUCGGACUUGAGUGUGUAUUUUUAAAAUUCUGGCUAAUAAACCCCUUUAUGCGUCUUAUCAACGAGUCCUGUCCUGACUAGUCCUUUUUCCAUGAUGGGAAUCAAUAGGUUUACCCGACGGGGGUGGGGGUGGG